rnacentral:lncRNA from 1 species
UCACAUAUUCUCAAUAUCCAUCACAUACAAUUCUCACACCCAAAAAUAGAAAAGGACCCAUAUAGUAACAAUACUACAAUGACACGCAUAUACAUACAGGGACCUACACAAUUCUAAAGGGGGGAAGCUAACUGAAAUUCCUUUUCUGGGGAAGCUAACUCAAAUUCCUUUUCUGGUGGAGAGAAUACAAACACAUAGGGACAUAGACACACAUAGAAAAAAAUGCAAAAAAAGGAGAAGCCAUCAUCAUCCUCCUAUAGAGGACACACACAGAGUAAAGAGAGAUCAAGAGUGAGAGGUCGUGAAGGGAGAACAGACUGGAUGAAGCAAAAAAAUGGAGAAAAUAAUAAAAAUGGAUUGAAAUGGGGAAGGGAAUGAGUGAAAUAGAAAAUUGGUGAGAAAUUCGGUCCUUUUUGAGCUAUUUCUGGCAAAACUUUCACCGGAAUCGACUCUAGUUCAUCGAUUCGGCCAAUCCAGUCCGAAAAUCCCAAAAUUUCUCCAUUUUCCCAUGGUUUCUCGGUAAAUCUGGUAGAAAAAUACUAAACUUCACCGGAAUCUGCCUUUCUCCAUCGGUUGUCGCUGCUUCCAGAGUUCAUCAAAAUUCUGGGCACAUAGUUUCUAGGGUUCUCUUGUAAAUUUAGGUGUUGGGUUCACUGUUCUUUAUGGUUUCUGCAUUUCGAGUCAAAUUUUGGAGAUUUUCUUAUCGGAGUUGGCUCGUAGUUGAGUUGUGGUAUUCUUCAAGGAUCCAAGACAACUUUUAUUCUCUUUUUAAGUCAAUUGAAAGCAUCUGGAAGGUCCAAUUCUAUCUUCUAUCCCUUUAAUUUACGUAAUUGCAAAUGAUUUGUGUGUUUGGUAUGUUUGAAUCUUUGUUGUGUGUUGGUUAGUGUUGGUUUCAGAUUUUGAAAAGUGAAUUGAUAAUAGAAGCAUGUGUUAAUCAUUGUGGAGAAUGAAUUUGGGGCGGAAUUAAAAAAUUGAUAAAAGGGUGAAUUUAGAUUAAUGUUGGUUUAUUGUUGUUUUGUUUAAUUCAAAAUAAAUAUCAAGUUUGUGAAAUCGAUAGUAUGACUGUUUUAGGUCGUUAAAUGGGUAGGCAAAUGCUAAUUCGGGUAGGCAAAUUUUAGGAACGUGUUUUGUUGAAUGUUUGAAUGUGCAUGUGAAUAGUUCUUUCUACUUUAUCGCACAAGAUUUGAAGAUGUAUUCAUUCGCCGGGGAAUGCCUCGAGUUUAUAUUGUACUUAUUCAUCGGGGAAUGCCCCGAAGUAUUUUGUACUCGGAGGACGUCCGUGACGAAGGCUCGAGGCAUCGGAUAAAGCAUUGGAGCGUAGUUUAGGAUUAGCGUAGGUUAGCGUAGGUUUAAAUUUUUGUAUUUUUUAUUUUGGGACUUUAUAAUUAGACCAGACAUUAUAUUUUUGGGAUUCAUUUUGUUUGUUGUUUGUUUGAUUGUUUUUGUGUGAUUUAUACAUUCAUAGUGUCAAAUUAGCCGAUAUACUCCACCAAUCGACCAUGGUCAAACCAUGGGAUCAAGGGGUGCCUAACACCUUUCCCUCGAUCAAUAGAAUUUCUUAGCCAGAAUCUCUAUUUGCAAACCAGUUUAAAGAGUCAAAUCAUUUUGAAAAGGAUUUUUCAAAGGUGACUUGGCACACCAGAUUUAUGCCAAGUGGCGACUCUGAUUUUUUAUUAUUAAAAGUCCUUUUCGAAAUAAAUUUUUAUUUUUUCACUUUAAUAAUAAAAAUCCUUUCAAACUUAAAUCAUAUUCUUUUUGGUUAAAAAAGGGGUGUGACACUCAUGAUCAAGAAACUUUUCAUAUGAAGACGUUCUUCAUGGGGGAUUAUUAAAUCUCGAGCACAGAUAGCG